rnacentral:rRNA from 1 species
CCUACGGGAGGCAGCAGUGGGGAAUAUUGCACAAUGGGGGGAACCCUGAUGCAGCGACGCCGCGUGAGUGAAGAAGUAUUUCGGUAUGUAAAGCCCUAUCAGCAGGGAAGAAGAAAUGACGGUACCUGAGUAAGAAGCACCGGCUAAAUAAGUGCCAGCAGCCGCGGUAAUACGUAGGGUGCAAGCGGUAUCCGGAUUUACUGGGUGUAAAGGGAGCGCAGGCGGCACGGCAAGCCUGAUGUGAAAGCCCGAGGCCCAACCGCGGGACUGCAGUGGAAACUACCGGGCUGGAGUGCCGGAGCGGCAGGCGGAAUUCCUAGUGUAGCGGUGAAAUGCGUAGAUAUUAGGCGGAACACCAGUGGCGAAGGCGGCCUACUGGACGGUGACUGACGCUGAGGCUCGAAAGCGUGGGGAGCGAACAGGAUUAGAUACCCUGGUAGUC